CAGCCGCCGCGGUAAUACGGAGGGGGCAAGCGUUAUCCGGAAUUAUUGGGCGUAAAGGGUACGUAGGUGGCCUUUUAAGCGUAGGGUAUAAGGCAAUGGCUCAACCAUUGUUCGCCCUAUGAACUGGAAGGCUUGAGUGCAGGAGAGGAAAGCGGAAUUCCUAGUGUAGCGGUGGAAUGCAUAGAUAUUAGGAGGAACAUCAGCGGCGAAGGCGGCUUUCUGGACUGCAACUGACACUGAGGUACGAAAGCGUGGGGAGCAAACAGGAUUAGAUACCCCUGUAGUCCCUGUCUCUUAUACA
rnacentral:rRNA from 1 species